CCUACGGGUGGCAGCAGUGGGGAAUAUUGGACAAUGGGGGGAACCCUGAUCCAGCGACGCCGCGUGAGUGAAGAAGUAUUUCGGUAUGUAAAGCUCUAUCAGCAGGGAAGAAAGAAAUGACGGUACCUGACUAAGAAGCCCCGGCUAACUACGUGCCAGCAGCCGCGGUAAUACGUAGGGGGCAAGCGUUAUCCGGAUUUACUGGGCGUAAGGGGUGCGUAGGUGGUUUAGUAAGUUGGCGGUGUAAUUCCGGGGCUCAACCUCGGCGCUACCGCCAAAACUAUUAGACUAGAGUGCAGGAGGGGUAAGUGGAAUUCCUAGUGUAGCGGUGGAAUGCGUAGAUAUUAGGAGGAACAUCAGGGGCGAAGGCGACUUACUGGACUGUAACUGACACUGAGGCACGAAAGCGUGGGGAGCAAACAGGAUUAGAUACCCCUGUAGUC
rnacentral:rRNA from 1 species